rnacentral:tRNA from 1 species
GGGCCUAUAGCUCAAUUGGCUAGAGCGCCACAUUUGCAAUGUGGAGGUUUGGGGUUCGAGUCCCCAUAGGUCCACAA